CCUGACUGCUAUCGGAUUGAUACUAAGCCAUGCGAGUCAUUGCAGUAAUGCAAGGCAGACGGCUCAGUAACGCGUAGUCAACCUACCCUAUGGACGGGAAUAACCUCGGGAAACUGAGUAUAAUGCCCGAUAGAACACUAUACCUGGAAUGGUUUGUGUUCCAAAUGAAUGUCGCCGUAGGAUGGGACUGCGGCCUAUCAGUUUGUUGGUGAGGUAAUGGCCCACCAAGACUAUUACAGGUACGGGCUCUGAGAGGAGUAGCCCGGAGAUGGGUACUGAGACACGGACCCAGGCCCUAUGGGGCGCAGCAGGCGAGAAAACUUUGCAAUGUGCGAAAGCACGACAAGGUUAAUCCGAGUGGUUUGUGCUAAACGAACCUUUUGACAGUCCUAGAAACACUGUUGAAUAAGGGGUGGGCAAGUUCUGGUGUCAGCCGCCGCGGUAAAACCAGCACCUCAAGUGGUCAGGAUGAUUAUUGGGCCUAAAGCAUCCGUAGCCGGCUCUGUAAGUUUUCGGUUAAAUCUGUACGCUCAACGUACAGGCUGCCGGGAAUACUGCAGAGCUAGGGAGUGGGAGAGGUAGACGGUACUCGGUAGGAAGGGGUAAAAUCCUUUGAUCUAUUGAUGACCACCUGUGGCGAAGGCGGUCUACCAGAACACGUCCGACGGUGAGGGAUGAAAGCUGGGGGAGCAAACCGGAUUAGAUACCCGGGUAGUCCCAGCUGUAACUAUGCAAACUCAGUGAUGCAU
rnacentral:rRNA from 1 species